rnacentral:lncRNA from 1 species
UAUUCCACUGGAAAAUUUCCCAUUUCUCUGCAGUUUCCCAGGAACAAGCAGUCUCUGGUGUAGUUCUGCAAACGAGUACAUCUCUCCGCAGAUGGCAGGCCCGAGAUCAGAGCAGCACACCCCAGGGACAGAGUCACGUGGAAGGCUGGUGGGAGGUGGAUGAGAUGGUCCCAGACUGAGGCCGUAGGUGCUCCCUUUCUCUCCCUGCCGCCUUCAGCCCUGCUCGGAUGGUGCCAGCUGGCCUUCUUCCUACAACAAGAAAUCCGUACCAGCCACCGGGUAUCGUGGAGCAUGCCCGCAAUCCCUCCUGAGGCAGGAGGAUCACAAGUUUGAGGCCAGGCUGGGCAAAUCAUAAUAAAAUAAAAAGAGCUGAAGAUGUAGCUCUGUGGUAGAGCUCUUGCCUAGCAUGCGUGAGGCCCCGGUCUCAACCCUCA